AAUGAACGCUGGCGGCAGGCCUAACACAUGCAAGUCGAACGGCAGCAUCGGGACUGCUUGCGCACACGGGUGGCGAGCGGCGGACGGGUGAGUAAUGCUUGGCAAACCUCCCCUUCACGGGGGCUAACCCCGGCGAAUGUCUGCGGACAACAGAUUUAUCGCCCUUGGAUGGGCCCGCGUUCGAUUAACUAGUUGGGAGGGUAAAAGCCUACCAAGGCGACGUUCCAUAGCCGGUCUGAGAGCAUCAUCAGCCACACUGGGACUGAGACACGGCGCAGACUCCUACGGGAGGCAGCAGUGGGGAAUAUUGGACAAUGGGCGAGAGCCUGAUCCAGCAAUGCUGCGUGAGUGAUGAAGGCCUUAGGGUUGUAAAGCUCGUUUACCCGGGAUGAUAAUGACGGUACCGGGAGAAUAAGCUCCGGCUAACUCCGUG
rnacentral:rRNA from 1 species